GGGCUAAGAGCUCAAACGAGUCACAAUAGGGAGGCUAGUGACCCCCAUCCAUUCCCAUGGCAUCGUUUGAAGGGCUCUGGAGCCAGCCGCCUGGGUUCGAAUCCUGACUGUCCCCCUCACCAGGCUCUGGGGAGGAAAGGGAGCCCAUGGCAGACCAGACCCCUGGCCGGCCAGGGUCCCCGGGGUCUGCGAGGAGGACGUUCAUGGGCGAGUGUGUGGUGGUGGGUGAACUGCGGCAGAACCCGAGAUUAACAGCUGGAACCCUCUCCUCUUGCAGGUCUGGGUGAAAAGCGUGGGACCCUCAGCCCAGAGCCGCACAAGACUUGGAUUUGCUUUGGAAACCACUGUGCUUUUCAACAAGAUCGUUCAAAUGGCCUGGGUGGAGACGGGGAGCUGGAGAGUUGGGGAUGGAAGCCGAUUUUAAGCCUGGAGGAAUCCAAACUGCACACAGUAGUCCAAGGCCCUGCCCCGCCUCCGUCCACCACCAUCCUCCCCCCGCACCCCCGCCAUGAGGUCCAUGACUGUAUCCUCAUUUCACAGAUGAGGAGACAGGCACAGAGCAGCAGCCAUGGCCAUGUGGCCGGUCACGCAGUGGAGGGAGGCCCGGGGGCAGGAGAGGGGCGCCUAAGGCCACACAGCAGGGCUGCGCCGGCGCGCAUGGCUGAGAAGCAGGUUCCAGGAGUUUCUGGGAGUUCUUGCUCAACAUCAAGAAACUUCCACCAGGAUCCACGGGGGGAAGUGGAAGCAGCCUUGUGAUAGCAGUUUCAAAGGCCUGGGCUCUGGCAAAUAGGAAAAAACAGGCUGAGAAAACAUAUCAGGCAGGCCUGCUUGUGAGGGAACCUGGCAGACAUCCAACCAGCAGUCUGGUGGCCAAUUCGGUACAUCAGACAUGCGCUUAAUCCAUCAUUCGGCAGCGGGCAGGUCACUGGCCACACAGGCUUCAGACCUCCUGGCUUGAGGGAACUUGGGGUUGCCAUCAGGCCCGUAUGAAUCAGAAAUUCUGGGCUUCUCAUCCCCCACCAGGCACUCCCACACUGUCCCUCCUCUGCAUGUUUGCCUCUCCAUUCUCUCUACCUUCACUGUCUCGGUUGCCUAUGGUCACAGUGAUACUCAAUAAACCACCAAAUCCAGUGGCUUAAGAGCAUGUGCUUCCUUCAGCAGGGCAGUUCUGACCUUGGCUGGUCUCACUCAUGUGUCUGCAUCUGUGGUGAGCUGGCAGAUUGGGGUGUAGAUUGGGCUCUCCCACUUGUCCAGGUCCUCAGCUGGGACACCUGGGCUGGCUUGGCUCUGCUCUGUGUGGCCUCUCAUGCUCCAAGAAGCUAGCCCAGGCUUAAGUACACUGAGGUGGCAGUUGCAGCCUGCAAGGCCUCUCGUGGCUUAGGCUCAGGACUGGCACAUCAUCACUUCUGCUGCACUUCUCCCUGCUAAAGCAAGUAUUGAGGCCACCCAAGAUCCAGAAGGUGGAGAGGAGCAGCAGAGCCUCACUGCAAAGGGCACAAAUGUGCAGAGGCCCUUCUCUGGAUCCACAAAUGCAGCCAGUGUACAGCAAACACCAUCUCCGCCCCCUUCUCUCCACCUGUUGGCAUACUUACUGUUCUUCAAGGCCCACCUGAAGUCUAGCUCUUUGUGAAGUUUUACCUAAACAUUCCACCCUACACCCACCAUAAGCUAAAUGAAUAGCAGGAUACUAUCUGGGGCGCUGGGUCCCAAAAGAAGGUGCCUAAAAGAGAAACAGGAUGUGACUGGUCCUGUGGGCUCCGGUUGGGGAACUCUGCAGCUGGGACAGGAACCCAUAGACACCAGGGCCCUCCCCUGCCCAGGCCUUCGGGGAGCCCCUUCUGAGGAUGAGAACCAAGGUCUGAAAUCCCAUGCUGCAGGCAAAGGCAGGGACUUCCACCCAUCCUCCUGCCAUCUACCAAGUAUCCACUGAGGGCCUGCGGGUUGUUCUUGGCUCUGUGCUAGGCGCUUUCACGCAUCAUCUCAUCAAACCCUCCCAACAACUUACAAGGUGGUUAUUGCUUUCCUCCCCAUUUUACAGAUGAGGAAACCAGGGAAAUCAAGGGUGUUUGAGUGACUGACCGAAAGUCACACAGCUAGGAAGUAAAGGAGCCAGGAUACAGGCCCAGAGCUCUGGUUUUAUCUGAAACCAAAACCAGAAGUUCCUCUUCCAGCUGCCCACCACCUCUCUGAGUAUCAGCCCUGCUAAUGACAAUGAUAACAUCAGCUCUGCAGCAUCGUUCUAAGCACUGUACGUUAAUGCGAUCAGUUAAUAAAAGCAUCUUGCCUUAAUUAAUUUACUCCUCUCAAUAACCCUUUGAGGUAGGUACAAUCUUUACUGCCAUUUGACAGAUGAGGCACAGGGAGGUUAAGGGAUUUGCCUAAGGUCACACCACUGGGAAGUGACAGAGGCAGGCUUUGAAUCUUCACACACUUGCUACCACACACUCACCAUUUUUGUAGUCAGGAUUUCAUAGGCUCAGGGUCCGAGGGGACUGGGGCAUGCCAGGGGGGUGGGAAGGUAGGAUGCAGAGCCGAAAUAGGAGACACUGGAGCUGGGACAGGAGCCCAGAGAGAAGAUGAGCAGCAGAGCAUGGUCUCCGGCAGCCUGCGUCCCUCCUUUCCAAGUCACGAUGCCAACCAGAAGCCCUAAUCGAGGGUGGUGCUGGAGAGGCUCUGGGAGGAGACCGGGAUGGUGGCGCAUAUGGCCGUGCCACCCUAGACCGCCCUUCAGGGAGGGUCCUGAUGGCCUGGCUUGGCUUUUCUGCAGAAGCAUCAGCUGGGGACAAGUAAGGGGUGGGGAGGGAAGCGAGAGGAGACGGAACUGCAGACUGGGCAGACUGGGUUCCCCAUUAGCCAGGCCAUAUGUCCAAAUGUGGACACAUAAGUGCGAGCAGGCACCAAGCCUGGCGAGCCCAGCUGCAGAACAGCAUGGGGAGAGCUCGCC
rnacentral:lncRNA from 10 species